rnacentral:rRNA from 1 species
AUUGAACGCUGGCGGCAGGCCUAACACAUGCAAGUCGAGCGGAUGCAUCGAUCUUGCUCCUGGAUUGGGCGGCAGACGGGUGGAUAGUGCCUAUUGAUCUGCCAUGGCGUGGGGAAUCAGGGCCGAAAACGGGCUCUGCUCCCGCGUAGGACCUUAUAGCGACAGAGGGGGGUCUUAAGACCUAACGCUGUCGGAUGGGCCUAGGUCGGAUUAGCUAGUUGGUGCGGUAAUGGCCUACCAAGGCGACGAUGCAUAGCUGGUCUGAGAGGAUGAUCAGCCACACUGGGACUGAGACACGGCCCAGACUCCUACGGGAGGCAGCAGUGGGGGAUCUUAGACAAUGGGGGAAACCCUGAUCGAGCCAUGCCGCGUGAGCGAUGAAGGCCUUAGGGUUGUAAAGCUCUUUCAGCUGGGAAGAUAAUGACGGUACCAGCAGAAGAAGCCCCGGCUAACUCCGUG